UACGUAGGGUGCGAGCGUUGUCCGGAAUUAUUGGGCGUAAAGAGCUCGUAGGCGGUCUGUCGCGUCGAUCGUGAAAACUUGGGGCUUAACCCUGAGCUUGCGGUCGAUACGGGCGUAGCGUGAGUUCGGCAGGGGAGACUGGAAUUCCUGGUGUAGCGGUGAAAUGCGCAGAUAUCAGGAGGAACACCGGUGGCGAAGGCGGGUCUCUGG
rnacentral:rRNA from 1 species